AUGCUCACUUCAGCAGCACAUAUACUAAAAUUGGAAUGGUACAGAGAAGAUUAGUAUGGAUGACAUGCAAAUUCGUGAAGUGUUAUAUUUUUAA
ensembl:snRNA U6 U6 spliceosomal RNA